ACAAGAACAGAAACUAACACAAAUUGUCCAGAAGCUAGUAAAGAGAGAAGCAGGUUCCCCAAGGCAGUAGAGCAGUGGCUUUCACUGACUGGGUACACUUCCCUAUAUGUGGUUAAACCACAUUGAUUCUUGGUGCUGGUUGUUCCAACAUGACUUAAUCGUGGCUGAUCACUGCUCACUGUCAGUGAUGGGCAGGAAACAGCUACAGUCAGCAGACUUAAAGAGAAAAACAUUUUGAUUUUCCCACCAUUGUUUUCUCUUUUUAGUAUUUGGGUGGUUUUCUGAGGGGUAAAGGAUACUUGCAGUGAAAUUUCUAGACUAUUGUGUGACACUUUCCAAUGUAAAUUGGGAUUGACUGAGACGUAGAAGUUAAAAGAUGUACAACUAGACAGAAAUGGCAAAAUAACAGUGCUUAAGCAAUUGGAAGAUGGUAUCUUAACAGAAAAGUCCAAGAAAUGCAUUGCAGCCAGAGACAGGCUCUGGAUUCAUGAGGAAUACAGACUGAAUAAAGACUGUGUAAUAUUUGCUGGUCUGACAGUGUCACAACACGCAUCUGGAAGUUGUUGUGGAAAGCCUUGGAUGUGGAAUGUAGAACACUUCCUUGGGGGACCUGAAAAUUUCAGUGAGGCUUUCAGGCAGUGUUAGUGUUGUUUUGGUGUAGCAGUCUCACAACGACUGACACUAUUCACAUCUUUUUCAUAAGGAUGAAGUUCAAACAUUAAAAAAAAUACUUCAAGCGAGUAGAGAUAUUUAUGAUGAACUUCGCAGAGAAAAUACUUGUAGGAGUCUGCUGUCUGCUGCUGUAGUGGCAGGUGUCACUGAAGCCUAGUAAAACCUGCAAGGUUAUUAGCUCUGUAAAAAUACUGGUCAGGAUCUGGGUUGUUCUUGUGUUCAUGCCACCUGCAUCAGCAAACACUGGUCAUCAGCCAGGGACCAAAGUGCAGAGCAGGAUGUGCAGCAUCCAGUUAAAAAGAUCUCUUUUGAAACUUAACCAGCACAGCCCUGGAAGCUUGCAGGGUUCUGUGUAUUCAGCAUCACAGCUCUCAUCUACUGAGAGUGAAUCCUGCAGUCCCAAAUGUGGGAACCUGCUGGCUCUCAGUUUCCCUGCUUGAGCUGUUUUUUCUUGUUGCAGGUCUAGGUCUCAUGGCAGAUCAAAGUCUGGCUCGCCGGCUAAGAGCCGAUCAAAGUCCCGGUCACCAUCUCCAAAGAGAAGCCGUUCACCAUCAGGAAGCCCUCAAAGAAGUGCAAGUCCUGAAAGAAUGGAUUAAAGUUAUGAAGUUAAUCUUUUAGGAAGAAAGUUAUUUUGCUUACAUUAUUAUAAGGGAUUUUGUGGUGUCUUUGUAAAUGUAAGAAUGUAGAUAGAAGAGUAUAUCAACUAAAAUUUGGCAUGAUCUCGGUCUUCUGAGUUAGUCACACCAAUAGACUAGCACAGGUCUCUUUUUAUUGUACGAAUUAACUUCCUGUGAUAUGAAAAUGUGGGACUUUUUUAUUGGCACAUUGAAAUAAAAUGUGUAUUUUUAACUAAAACUUCUCUGUAGUAACCCUGCUGCUUCUGUUAAUGUUUGGGUAAUUUUAGCUGUGUGCCAUGUAAUGUGGAUGAAAAAUGUCUAAAAUGGGAACCACUAAUCCCAGCGGUGUCUUCUCAAGGUAGUCACUUUUCACGUUUACUGUUGAAUGGUCUUUGGUGAAAGGAUCAGUUCCUGCUUUCCUUGAAAUGGAAUGUAAAAUCCAUCUCUGUUUGCAGAUGGAAAAAAAUUUGCAUCUGCCCUUUUCGUUCCUUGAUAUUUAGUGGGCUUUCUUUUUUCUGUCUGAUCUGCUUAUUCUGCAAAGCUCAUUCUCUGGUGUUUGACUGUUGCUACCAAAUGCCCCAAAAAUCUAAGGAUAAACUUUCCUCCAAAACACAUCUUUUAAUCAAAUAACAUCUGCAGAAACCUCUAAAGGUAAUAGAAGUCAUUAAUAACUUGACAAUUGCUACUUUCACUUGUUGCAUUUUUUAGUUCUUUAGGCUACUGAUACAAAGAAAACUUGUAAAAAUGUCUCAAGGCRGAUUUUCCUUUUUUGAGGGAAGAUCCUUAAAGUGAAAGAUUCUCAGCUGACCUCAGGAGUUCUAACCUGCUUCACAGAAACUGGUAUGGUUGUAAAGCACCCAUAUCCUGGAGAUGGCUUUGUUGAAUGAUGCCAAUUUCUUACAGCAAAUAUACAACCUGCAGGUUUAAUUAUUUGUGUAUAGAUGUGUCAAACUCUUGUGUUUGUCCUCAUUGUGUAUGAAAGAAUUGCAUGAUAAGGCACUUGGACACAGAUCACAGCAAAGGACUGGCAACAGUAUUGGCCUCUGAAAAACUGGUAGGCAGAGGGGAGAAAAGGUGGUGGGGUGGUUUCUGGGUUUAGCUAUGUAGGAGAAAUAAAGGCCAGUUUCAGCAGUAAAUAAGCACUGAAAUGGAAAGGGAGGCAUUCUUGGGCUUCUCAUUGAAUCUACAGUGGUAGUUCACUGUGUAACCACAGCUGAACGGUUUAAAUAAACAAAGUGACAAAAUGGACUUGGUUACACCUGCGGUAACCCAUGAUUUUCAAGAAACAGGUUUCCUGUUAACAAUGACAGCAUGGAGCUUUUCCAGYGGAUGAGUCUACAGUCAGCUCCUGAACGUGCUGUUUUGCUGCAGCAUCUUCUGGCCUUUAUGCCUGGUCCUCACUGCUGUGGUGCUUGCUGUGCCUGGUUCCUCACUGGGGCUCACCAUGGCCAUCAGUGUCCAGGUGGAUUCUGGCCACACAUUAAAUCCCACCGCUGCCACAGCGGGGAAGCAGGGCUGACACAAAUGUUACCCUGCAGCGAUUUAGCCCAAAUGCCUGAAGCCUGUGAAACGUGUUUGGAAUAUUUUACUGGUUGUGCAUUGUGUACCUGGUGAGAGGCACACGUACGCCACUGCUCUGGAAUUUCAUCACCUUUUCUUUUCUGUACUCUCAAGGCAAACUUGCUCCACAAUAAACCUGCAGACUGACACGA